rnacentral:lncRNA from 1 species
AGAAAAAUUAGUGGGGUAUAAAAUAAUUUUAAUGGGCUGAACCCGGCCCGUCCAUUAAGGCGGUCACCAGAAGAGGAUCGGAAUAGGGGAAAGUAAAUCCCCUGUUCCGUGCGAUAGAAGCCUCACCGCUUCUUUCUCCCGAUGCUCCCUCCCUCCCUCCAUCUCGCUCUCUUCCCUCCCUCUCACGGUCUCUCUCUCUCUCGCGCACGCUCUCCCCCUCUGCUAUCUCUCUCCCG